rnacentral:rRNA from 1 species
CCUACGGGUGGCAGCAGUGGGGAAUAUUGCACAAUGGGGGAAACCCUGAUGCAGCGACGCCGCGUGAGGGAAGAAGUAUCUCGGUAUGUAAAGCUCUAUUAGCAGGGAAGAAACUGCCGGUACCUGACUAAGAAUCCCCGGCUAACUACGUGCAAGCAGCCGCGGUAAUACGUCGGGGGCAAGAGUUAUACGGAUUUACUGGGUGUAAUGGGAGCGUAGACGGCAGCGCAAGUCUGGAGUGAAAUCCUAUGGGUUAACCAUGGCACUGCUGUGGAAACUGUGCAGCUGGAGUGCAGGAGAGGUAGGCGGAAUUCCUAGUGUAGCGGUGAAAUGCGUAGAUAUUAGGAGGAACACCAGUGGCGAAGGCGGCUUACUGGACUGUAACUGACGUUGAGGCUCGAAAGCGUGGGGAGCAAACAGGAUUAGAUACCCCUGUAGUC